AUCAGCAUCCCAUUUUGAAAAUGCAAAACAGUGUGACAGUGAAAGACUUUGAGAUGCAGCCUCUGAAGGUGAGGUCACUAGAACAUUGGGAAGUUGAUGUCAGAGCCAUGAGGGGUGGCUACCAGUUUAAUUGAAAGGAACCAACCAUCACAGAGCUUAACUG